UUGGUCUCUAUGGCAUCAAUCACGCUCAAAUUUCAGUAUGUUAUAGCUGGGCCUUAGAGCUUCGACUAAAAAAAAAAAACGCAAAACUUCCCGGGCUAGAAUCAAAUUAUUUUUCUUUAAAUGGUUAUAGCUCUGUUUCUAACUCUCAUAAUUUGAUCAAUGAGGGCGUUUUGGUAAACUUUCGUGAAAUGCCGAUCUCCUUUUAACAUCAUAAGUUCGUAAAACUACAGCUAGGGGUGCUAUAAUUGAAAAGAAAACUUUCCAAUUUUCUAAGUUAAUUAGCUCCGGCUCUAUAGCACGGAUCGGGCUGAAAUUUUGGUAGAGGGAGCGGAUUGAGCUAAAAAUUCUUCAUGAAUCUCUCUUAAACAUGCCUAAGAAACUUACUUAUGUUAUAAAGAAUAAGGUAAAUACCAAUUAUUAAAGCAUUCUUAUUGAUUAGGUUUUUUAAAUUUUCAUUUUAAAAAAAUUGAAUGAAUUUCGCUCUAAAUCAUCCAAAAAUUUAAUAUUUGGCUGGCGUACACGCACGAACGCAAAUGCACGAGGGUCAGUGUAUUGUGUUCUUCAAAUGGCGUGAUUUGCAUAAAAUAAAUAAUAUUACUUUCUAUAUGCAUUGAUUAUAACAAUUAAUAAUUUGAAUGAAAUUUAUAUUUAUUUAGAAUGAAAAACCAAUCAAAUCUAAUACUAUUUUUUGAAUCAAUAGCAUAAGUAUUUGAAAAAAAGGAAACUACAUUCAGAUCUAUGACUGAUUCCAUCAGUACGGAAAACAUUAAAACGAGUCAGUCUUGAAGAAGCCGCUGAGUUGAAAAGUUGUCACACAAAUUAUUUCCAAUCUAUUUGAAAAUGAAAAAAAAACUAAAAAAUGGUUACAGUGGAUAAGUAAACUUAUAAAGUUGCAAAAAUCAUCAAGUGAUCGACAAAGAAAUUUGAUAAAGUGUUGGAAAUCGUUAGAUUGGGUAAGUAAAAAAAUGUUUGCCAGAAAAGUAUUAACCAUAUUCGGUAAAUUAAAUUAAAUUUAUUUCUUCUUUUAAGCUAAAAUGGAAUGUCAAACUUUUUAUUAUUUUAUUUAAAUUUAAAAUUCGUCGUAAGAAUUUUUUAUUAUUUAAUAUUUUACUAACGAUUUGUAAUUUUCGAUAUUGUUCAAGUUCAAUCGAUCAUCCUGAUUGCAAGUCAUUGUUGAUUGGAAACGUCCGUGAGCAGAAGCUGGAAAAUUAUCACCAUAUCUGUUUUAUCGAACUACUUUUCUUCAAAAAUUCCAUCUAGGAGAGACCUAAAUAGUAUCAAGGACAAUCAUUGUCUUUUCCAUGGAAUUGGAAAAGUGAUUCGCAGAUAGCAGCAGAACUCAGAGCAAACAGUAAAGGACGUAAAUCUGCAAAACACAACUUAGAAAAGUGAGCGCUGUAAUAAAAGUAGACGAGGAGCACUACCACUGAUCAAAUUUCAUUAUGUCAUCGUUUAUCUUUA